rnacentral:rRNA from 1 species
AAUGGGUCAGCGACUUAUAUUCUGUAGCAAGGUUAACCGAAUAGGGGAGCCGAAGGGAAACCGAGUCUUAACUGGGCGUUAAGUUGCAGGGUAUAGACCCGAAACCCGGUGAUCUAGCCAUGGGCAGGUUGAAGGUUGGGUAACACUAACUGGAGGACCGAACCGACUAAUGUUGAAAAAUUAGCGGAUGACUUGUGGCUGGGGGUGAAAGGCCAAUCAAACCGGGAGAUAGCUGGUUCUCCCCGAAAGCUAUUUAGGUAGCGCCUCGUGAAUUCAUCUCCGGGGGUAGAGCACUGUUUCGGCAAGGGGGUCAUCCCGACUUACCAACCCGAUGCAAACUGCGAAUACCGGAGAAUGUUAUCACGGGAGACACACGGCGGGUGCUAACGUCCGUCGUGAAGAGGGAAACAACCCAGACCGCCAGCUAAGGUCCCAAAGUCAUGGUUAAGUGGGAAACGAUGUGGGAAGGCCCAGACAGCCAGGAUGUUGGCUUAGAAGCAGCCAUCAUUUAAAGAAAGCGUAAUAGCUCACUGGUCGAGUCGGCCUGCGCGGAAGAUGUAACGGGGCUAAACCAUGCACCGAAGCUGCGGCAGCGACGCUUAUGCGUUGUUGGGUAGGGGAGCGUUCUGUAAGCCUGUGAAGGUGUACUGUGAGGUAUGCUGGAGGUAUCAGAAGUGCGAAUGCUGACAUAAGUAACGAUAAAGCGGGUGAAAAGCCCGCUCGCCGGAAGACCAAGGGUUCCUGUCCAACGUUAAUCGGGGCAGGGUGAGUCGACCCCUAAGGCGAGGCCG